CAAAUAUAGCGAUCAUUCUCGUAGGAAGGCGCAUGGGCAAGGCGGUGUAACCGCCGGGCGGAAGCUCCCAUGCGCGAAACACAGGCUCCUCAGGGGGCCUUUUUUAUUGCCC
rnacentral:sRNA from 1 species